GCAGACUCCAAGGGUUUUAUAGCGUCCGGUAGCGACACGGAGCCGGCUCCCCCUUUUCCAGCCUUCCUCCCCAUCUCCCAUUCCCCGUCCCCCACGGCCCAUACCAGAGGUCCUUAGGCCUCCACGUCUCCCCUUCUGCCGAGUAGCCCAAGGUUUCCACCCAUCUGCCAGGGGGAUGGCGUCCACUCCGAUGGGGAAUGAGAGGGAGAAGAAGAGCAGCUGGCCGUCUCAAACUGCACCCUCCUUGAGAGGAGGUCCGGCUUCGUUAUCUCGUUCUGAGGAAUACCUGUCCCGGAUCAGUGCAGAACUCACCGAGGAGGCUUUGUGCACUGCUUGCUGCCACUUGAACCCUGUGCCCAUCAAAAAACAGCAGUCACAAGACCAAGCGACUCAGAUAUCCAAACGCGCAUUCUUCACCAAGACCUGAGGCACAGACACCUGGUGAGUGAGGCUCCAAGGGAGAUGCUUUGUCCUGGGAGAGAGCCCUCUCCCCUCUCUUCCGCCAUCUCCUGCUCCGACAGAAACCGUACCUGCAGCAAGGCACACCUCCUGCCAACUCCUGGUGAAAAGAACAUGCCUCAAAACUACUCUUUUGCCACUUGUUAACCACUUCCAUUUGUGGGGACCUCCUGGUCAUGAGCAGCAUCAUCCCGAAGCCUUCAAAGUGUUCUGGAUUCAUCACAGGACCCUCCAGCCUCAGCGAGCAAGGACACCAACAGGAAUGAAAGCGCUUUAAUAAAGAGACAGGGUGUGCA
rnacentral:sRNA from 1 species